GGUCCCAGCCAUGUGCCUUCAACCACUCUGGAGAAAUGUUGGGAGGAGCUCUCAGUGCGAUCCUUUCCAUACCUUCCAAGGAUUUUUAGGAUCGUGGGAUUUAUGGACCUGCAAAAUCCUCUGGAGAACAUCAGCCACCGACAAAACCAUCUGGAAAUUCCUGCUGUCUUUUUGCCCUGUCUUUCCUGAGUCACCGAGUCUUGGGAAGGAAGCAUCUCUGCUCUGAGGAUUACAGCAAAUCAGUUGCUUGCCGUCCUUACUGGAAUACCUUCCCUUUCAGUUGCUCAGAACAUAGCAAUUACUGAAGAAGGCAGAAGGAUAUUUUUUCCCUUUCACCGAGCUUUUGCAGCGCAGCAGUGGCUGUGUCCGGCUAUGUAGAUGGUUUCCACAUUCUCUACCCAAUUUCUUUUCCUGAUGUUUAGGAACUGAAUCAUUCUGUUUCCCUACUAGCCUCUGCUAAAGGUCUCGCUUGACUGCAAAAAGGAGAAAGGAGGAGUGUGUGCAGGGAGUUCAGGUCCUGCUGUGGCUUCUUGGGAGGUGAGGUGAGUCGUGACAGCCUUCAGCACUGCUAAGCUCAGAGGUACAAAUGCACCUGGGUUUCCCUGCAGCAUUUAGGAGGAAUAAAGAAGGUAGGAUAACCAAGGUCAGCACCUCACUUCAAGCUAUCAGUUGGACUGCUUGCGGGAUAUCUGCUAUGGACCUUCUGGCUGAUUUUUCUCUUGUAAGAUCCAGAGCGAUCAUUGCCUGUCGUGGCAAGAGAAGAUGUGUACCAUCCACCACUCUUGCUGUAUGAAAGCAAGGGGUGCCUUUAUGACCUGCAACUUCUGCUUCUCUGUCAGCUGUUACUGGAAUGAUGGCCUGUGUCACUGGAGACUGCUUCAGAAAGUUUGUGAGACAGACACUAAGUCUAGUGAAUGGAAGAAAAUAUUUGUCACUGUCUUUAUUUGUCACUGCACCCACAGUCCUUAUUUCUAGAAAAAAAAAAAAGACUUAAGUUGUACAGCCAUCUUCUCUUCCUUCUUGUCCUCCAUCCUCACAUCUUAUUUUAAUGAGUAAUUUUGAAUGGAUCUGCAUCAAGAUGGAAUUUUGCCUUGCUUUGGAUAGUAUUCAACUAAGUAACUAAAAUUUCCUUCUGAGGUAGUGGGGUAGGGAUGGAUUUGGAUGGUGCUAGGACCUUGUGCUCCAACUUAAUAACAGGGGAAGAGGAAUCCAACAGCACCAACGUGUUCUUGGGGCAGAAAAGGAGCCAGAUUUAACCCUAAGGUCAAGUGAUGGAAGAAAAGUGAUCCCUCAUGGUCAACUCCAACCUGAAGGAGCCCAAGGAGCAUGAUGACCAUUUGAAUGACUCAUCUUUUGGUCCUGUUCAGAAGAUGAUGUUCUUAUUGCAUGGACAUUAAUGACCUUUGUUUCAUUGCCUUGUCUUUAAGGACUCAAGAUGGUGUUUGCAGAGGAGAUAGAGACCUGGUCUGCCAUGACCGUGUCAGUUUUAUGUAUUUGCAUAAUGUAAAUGCCAGCCCAGCUGAAUUGUGACAGGUGUAUUUGUUGUAGGCAAAUAAAGGUUUU
rnacentral:lncRNA from 7 species